rnacentral:rRNA from 1 species
CAGCUGGUUGGUGGGGUAAGAGCUCACCAAGGCGACGAUCAGUAGCUGGUCUGAGAGGACGAGCAGCCACACUGGGAUUGAGAACGGCCCAGACUCCUACGGGGGGCAGCAGUGAGGAAUUUUCCGCAAUGGACGAGAGUCUGACGGAGCAACGCCGCGUGCAGGAUGACGGCCUUCGGGUUGUAAACUGCUUUUCUGGGGGACGAGCAAGGACGGUACCUCAGGAAUCAGCCCCGGCUAACUACGUGCCAGCAGCCGCGGUAAUACGUAGGGGGCAAGCGUUGUCCGAAGUUACUGGGCGUAAAGCGCCCGCAGGCGGUCGUGAACGUUUGGGAUGACAGGGGUCGGCUUACCCGAUCAAGCGUUUCAAAAACGGCACGACUUGAGGGCCAGAGAGGGACAGGGAAUUCCGAGUGGAGUGGUGAAAUGCGUAGAUAUUCGGAGGAACACCAAAGGCGAAGGCACUGUCCUGGAUGGUACCUGACGCUCAGGGGCGAAAGCCAGGGGAGCGAACGGGAUUAGAUACCCCGGUAGUCCUGGCUGUAAACGAUGACCACUAGAUGUGGCGGGUAUCGACCCCCGCCGUGUCGUAGCUAAC